rnacentral:rRNA from 1 species
AGCGCCGAAGAAGCGAGAGUGACGGUAGGCGCAGAAGAAGCACCGGCUAACUACGUGCCAGCAGCCGCGGUAAUACGUAGGGUGCGAGCGUUGUCCGGAAUUAUUGGGCGUAAAGAGCUUGUAGGCGGUUUGUCGCGUCUGCUGUGAAAACCCAGGGCUUAACCCUGGGCCUGCAGUGGGUACGGGCAGACUAGAGUGUGGUAGGGGAGACUGGAAUUCCUGGUGUAGCGGUGAAAUGCGCAGAUAUCAGGAGGAACACCGAUGGCGAAGGCAGGUCUCUGGGCCACUACUGACGCUGAGAAGCGAAAGCAUGGGGAGCGAACAGGAUUAGAUACCCUGGUAGUCCAUGCCGUAAACGUUGGGCGCUAGGUGUGGGACUCAUUCCACGAGUUCCGUGCCGCAGCUAACGCAUUAAGCGCCCCGCCUGGGGAGUACGGCCGCAAGGCUAAAACUCAAAGGAAUUGACGGGGGCCCGCACAAGCGGCGGAGCAUGCGGAUUAAUUCGAUGCAACGCGAAGAACCUUACCAAGGCUUGACAUAUACCGGAAACAUCUGGAGACAGGUGCCCCGCAAGGUCGGUAUACAGGUGGUGCAUGGUUGUCGUCAGCUCGUGUCGUGAG